rnacentral:rRNA from 1 species
CACGUAGGGGGCGAGCGUUGUCCGGAUUUAUUGGGCGUAAAGAGCUCGUAGGCGGCUUGGUAAGUCGGCUGUGAAAGCUCCGGGCUCAACCCGGAGAGGCCAGCCGAUACUGCCAUGGCUAGAGUCCGGUAGAGGAGCAUGGAAUUCCCGGUGUAGCGGUGAAAUGCGCAGAUAUCGGGAGGAACACCAGUAGCGAAGGCGGUGCUCUGGGCCGGAACUGACGCUGAGGAGCGAAAGCGUGGGUAGCAAACAGG